AGCUUGCUACUGGAUUCACCGGCGGACGGGUGAGUAAUGCUUAGGAAUCUGCCUAUUAGUGGGGGACAACGUUCCGAAAGGAGCGCUAAUACCGCAUACGUCCUACGGGAGAAAGCAGGGGACCUUCGGGCCUUGCGCUAAUAGAUGAGCCUAAGUCGGAUUAGCUAGUUGGUAGGGUAAAGGCCUACCAAGGCGACGAUCUGUAGCGGGUCUGAGAGGAUGAUCCGCCACACUGGGACUGAGACACGGCCCAGACUCCUACGGGAGGCAGCAGUGGGGAAUAUUGGACAAUGGGGGGAACCCUGAUCCAGCCAUGCCGCGUGUGUGAAGAAGGCCUUUUGGUUGUAAAGCACUUUAAGCGAGGAGGAGGCUACCUGGAUUAAUACUUUAGGAUAGUGGACGUUACUCGCAGAAUAAGCACCGGCUAACUCUGUGCCAGCAGCCGCGGUAAUACAGAGGGUGCGAGCGUUAAUCGGAUUUACUGGGCGUAAAGCGUGCGUAGGCGGCCAAUUAAGUCAAAUGUGAAAUCCCCGAGCUUAACUUGGGAAUUGCAUUCGAUACUGGUUGGCUAGAGUAUGGGAGAGGAUGGUAGAAUUCCAGGUGUAGCGGUGAAAUGCGUAGAGAUCUGGAGGAAUACCGAUGGCGAAGGCAGCCAUCUGGCCUAAUACUGACGCUGAGGUACGAAAGCAUGGGGAGCAA
rnacentral:rRNA from 1 species